rnacentral:rRNA from 1 species
UACGGAGGGUGCAAGCGUUAUCCGGAUUUAAUGGGUUUAAAGGGUGCGUAGGCGGCUUUUUAAGUCAGUGGUGAAAUCCUAGUGCUUAACACUAGAACUGCCAUUGAAACUAAAAAGCUUGAGUCAAGGAGAGGUAAGCAGAAUUUAUGGUGUAGCAGUGAAAUGCUUAGAUAUCAUAAGGAAUACCAAUAGCGAAGGCAGCUUACUGGCCUUGUACUGACGCUGAGGCACGAAAGCGUGGGGAGCAAACAGG